AUUGAACGCUGGCGGCAGGCCUAACACAUGCAAGUCGAGCGGAGCGGCGGACGGGUGAGUAAUGCCUAGGAAUCUGCCUGGUAGUGGGGGAUAACGUCCGGAAACGGGCGCUAAUACCGCAUACUAUCAGAUGAGCCUAGGUCGGAUUAGCUAGUUGGUGGGGUAAAGGCCUACAAAGGCGACGAUCAGUAACUGGUCUGGGAGGAGGAUCAGUCACACUGGAAUGGAGACACGGUCCAGACUCCUACGAGAGGCAGCAGUGGGGAAUAUGGGACAAUGGGCGGAAGCCUGAUCCAGCCAUGCCGCGUGUUGGAAGAAGUUCUUCGGAUUGUAAAGCACUUUAAGUUGGGAGGCGUUACCAACAGAAUAAGCACCGGCUAACUUCGUGCCAGCAGCCGCGGUAAUAC
rnacentral:rRNA from 1 species